rnacentral:sRNA from 1 species
UAGUCAUGUAGCCUAUGAGGAUGAGAACCUCCGGGGGCAGGGAGGUUCGACUCGAGCGAAGCGAGAGAACGUUGCGCCAGCAACGGCCCGCAGGGCGAGCCACGAAGUGGCGAGUAAUCCUCUAUCACC